UACGUAGGGUGCAAGCGUUGUCCGGAAUUAUUGGGCGUAAAGAGCUCGUAGGCGGUCUGUCGCGUCGGCUGUGAAAACCCGGGGCUCAACCCCGGGCCUGCAGUCGAUACGGGCAGACUAGAGUGCGGUAGGGGAGACUGGAAUUCCUGGUGUAGCGGUGAAAUGCGCAGAUAUCAGGAGGAACACCGGUGGCGAAGGCGGGUCCCUGGGCCGUAACUGACGCUGAGGAGCGAAAGCAUGGGUAGCGAACGAGG
rnacentral:rRNA from 1 species